ACGCGAAGAACCUUACCUGGUCUUGACAUCCACAGAACUUUCCAGAGAUGGAUUGGUGCCUUCGGGAACUGUGAGACAGGUGCUGCAUGGCUGUCGUCAGCUCGUGUUGUGAAAUGUUGGGUUAAGUCCCGCAACGAGCGCAACCCUUAUCCUUUGUUGCCAGCGGUCCGGCCGGGAACUCAAAGGAGACUGCCAGUGAUAAACUGGAGGAAGGUGGGGAUGACGUCAAGUCAUCAUGGCCCUUACGACCAGGGCUACACACGUGCUACAAUGGCGCAUACAAAGAGAAGCGACCUCGCGAGAGCAAGCGGACCUCAUAAAGUGCGUCGUAGUCCGGAUUGGAGUCUGCAACUCGACUCCAUGAAGUCGGAAUC
rnacentral:rRNA from 1 species